GAUGAACGCUGGCGGCGUGCCUAAUACAUGCAAGUCGAGCGAACAGACGAGGAGCUUGCUCCUCUGACGUUAGCGGCGGACGGGUGAGUAACACGUGUAUAACCUACCUAUAAGACUGGGAUAAUUUCGGGAAACCGGAGCUUACACCGGAUAAUAUACUGAACCGCAGGGUUGAAUGGAGAAAGUCGGUUUUGCUGUCACGACUAGCUGGAUCCGCGCCGCAUUGGCUAGUUGGUAAGUUAACGGCUUAUCAAGGCGACGAUGCGUACGCGACGUGUGGGGCUGGUAGGCCACCCUGGAGCGUGAACACGGUCAAUGCUCCUGCGAGAGGCAGCAGUCGGGAAUCGUCCGCAGAAGGCGAGAGCAUGACGGAGCGAGGCGACGCGAGUUAUGGAGGUCUUCGGUUCGUAAUGCUCUGUUAUUGGGGGAAAACAAAUGUGUCAGGAACUGUGCACGUAUUGACGGUACCUAGUAAAGAAGCCCCGGCUAACUACGUG
rnacentral:rRNA from 1 species